rnacentral:rRNA from 1 species
GGCAGCAGCUAAGAAUAUUCCGCAAUGGACGAAAGUCUGACGGAGCGACGCCGCGUGGAUGAUGAAGGCCGGAAGGUUGUAAAAUCCUUUUAUGACUGAGGAAUAAGUUCUCUGAGAGAAACGGAGGAUGGUGACUGUAGGUCAUGAAUAAGCAACGGCUAAUUACGUGCCAGCAGCCGCGGUAACACGUAAGUUGCGAGCGUUGUUCGGAAUUAUUGGGCGUAAAGGGCAUGUAGGCGGUUAUGCAAGUCUGGUGUGAAAUGCCGGGGCUUAACCCCGGAACUGCGUUGGAAACUGCAUAACUUGAGUCGCUGAGGGGCAGCCAGAAUUCCAGGUGUAGGGGUGAAAUCUGUAGAUAUCUGGAAGAAUACCAAUGGCGAAGGCAGGCUGCCAGCAGAUGACUGACGCUGAGGUGCGAAGGUGCGGGGAGCAAACAGGAUUAGAUACCCUGGUAGUCCGCACAGUCAACUAUGUACACUAGGCGUCCGUACAUGAGUAUGGGUGCCGAAGCAAACGCGAUAAGUGUACCGCCUGGGGAGUAUGCCCGCAAGGGUGAAACUCAAAGGAAUUGACGG